rnacentral:lncRNA from 1 species
ACAAUAUUACACAAGCCCUAGAGGAUUUGACAAAAAAUUGUUUCAGCCGCUCUAGGUUCCAGAAGCCAUGAAAUCCAAUCUAGAGCCCGUUCCGGAGAGCAACACGAUCGGGGUUCAUCGUCCUGAUUGAUGCUCCUCGGGUGAUGUGUGAGUAGUUCAUAUCAGACUUAUGGGUCUGUAGGCAGUAGCUAGAUGGCCCUCUCUCUCGUUUUGCUUCUCAAUAUAAUGUUCUCUUGGAGAUCUAUUUGAUGUAACUCUUUCUUUUGCGGUUUGUUUGUUGGGAUUCAAUGAACUAUGAGUUUAUGAUCAGAUCUAUGAAAUUAUAUUCAUG